UGAGGCAGAGAAUUGCUUGAACCCAGGAGGUGGAGGUUGCAGUGAGCCGAGAUCACACCACUGCACUCCAGCCUGGGUGACACAGCGAGACUCCGUCUC
rnacentral:miRNA from 1 species